rnacentral:rRNA from 1 species
AAAAAUCUUUCUAGAUACACUUUCCAGUACAUCUACUAUGUUACGACUUAUCUCAAAUAAAUCGAGAGUGACGGGCGAUAUGUACUUAUUUUAGAGCUAAAAUCAAAAUAAUAUUCUAAAUAAAAUUACUAUUAAAUCCACCUUCAUUAAAAUUUUAAAAUUUAAAUCCGUUUAUUAAUAAAUAUUGUAAUUCACCUCCACUUAAUCAUAAACUGCACCUUGACUUGAAAUAAUUUAUAAUAAUAAAUAAAGUAAAUUCUAAUUCUAAUAAAAUAAACUUAUAACAGCGGUAUACAUACUGAUAACAAGAAAUAAGUAAGAUAUAACGGGGAUUAUCGAUAACGGAGCAAAUUCCUCUAAAUAGACUAAAAUACCGCCAAAUUCUUCAAGUUUUAAAAAAAUAACUAAUACUACUCAGGUAAAUAUUUAACAUAUAUGUAUAAUAGGGUAUCUAAUCCUAGUUUAAUAAAUAUAUUUCGCAGAAUCAAAACAAAAUUAAUUAAUAUUUAAAUUUCACCUAUAAAAAUAAAUAUUAAAUUCACAAAAAUUUUUAACUACCACAAACCAAAAAUAUUAAUUUAUAUCCAUUGUAUAACCGCGUAUGCUGGCACAAUAUUAUACAAUAAUAAAUAGAAUUUCCAAAUCAUAUAUCAAUAUAUAUAUUUAAAACAAAAUACUGCAAAAUUUAAAUUAUUUAAACAUAAAUAUUAAGCAAAAACUUACAUGUAUAUAAUCCUAGAAAUUAAUAUACUAGACAGAAUAAAACUAAAAUUGAUCA